CAUAAGAAAAAAUAACUUGUGGAUUUAAUGUUGGAUUAGUAAUAUAUCUCACAUCUCCUCCUCCUGGCGCCCAUGUAUCAUAUACGCCACCAAAGAAUAAGGCUUUAACAACCAAUAAAAAUGAUCCAAUUCCUAAUAGUACUAAGUGAAUACCUAAAAUUGUAGUCAUUUUAUUUUUAUCACGCCA
rnacentral:antisense_RNA from 11 species